ACAUGAAAUUUAGUGGAAGGAUACAGCCAACUCAGAGAAUGUGAGAACCAGGCUUGGAAGAAGACAGGAACUGAGCCAGCUCUGGAGAAGCGGAAAUGGUUUUGGCUGAUGUUUUGGAGGAGUAUGCAAACCGUGAGGAAUCUUGGCUGUGUCAAUGCAGACUGCCCUCUGGUAGGGUGAAUCACUACUAUGUCGCUGUUAUGGAGCACACCAGCCCCAUUGCAACCUCACAGCCUUGACAUGUGUUUCUCUCUGCUGGAACUCACCUCCCUCUCUUUAUCACAUCUUUGGUCUUUAAUAAAGACUCUAAAGCAAGUUAAACCCCUUACCUGCUUUUGCCAGAUCAUUGUAUUUCAACAUCUUCCUUUUUUCCAUUAGGCAGAUUGUACCCCAAUUUGUAAAUAUACAUAUAUAUUUCUCCCCUCUUCCUUCCUUUCUUCCCUCCCUCCCUCUCAUUC